AUACGUAGGUGACAAGCGUUAUCCGGAUUUACUGGGCGUAAAGGGCGUGUAGGCGGGCUUGCAAGUCAGAAGUGAAAUUCCUGAGCUCAACUCGGGCGCUGGUUCUGAAACUGCAGGACUUGAGUGCUGGAGGGGAUAGCGGAAUUCCUAGUGGAGCGGUAAAAUGCGCAGAUAUUAGGAAGAACACCGGUGGCGAAGGCGGCUAUCUGGACAGUAACUGACGCUGAGGCGCAAAAGCGGGGGGAACAAAAAGGAUUAGAUACCCUGGUAGCCCUCGCCGUAAACGAUGAAUACUAGGUGUAGGGGGUAUCGACUCCCUCUGUGCCGCAGUUAACACAAUAAGUAUUCCGCCUGGGGAGUACGGCCGCAAGGUUGAAACUCAAAGGAAUUGACGGGG
rnacentral:rRNA from 1 species